rnacentral:rRNA from 1 species
AGCGAACGCUGGCGGCAGGCCUAACACAUGCAAGUCGAACGAGGUCUUCGGACUUAGUGGCGGACGGGUGAGUAACACGUGGGAACGUACCUUUUGGUUCGGAACAACUCAGGGGAACUUGAGCUAAUACCGGAUGAGCCCUUAGGGGGAAAGAUUUAUCGCCGAAAGAGCGGCCCGCGUUAGAUUAGCUAGUUGGUGAGGUAAAGGCUCACCAAGGCUACGAUCUAUAGCUGGUCUGAGAGGAUGAUCAGCCACACUGGGACUGAGACACGGCCCAGACUCCUACGGGAGGCAGCAGUGGGGAAUCUUGCGCAAUGGGCGAAAGCCUGACGCAGCCAUGCCGCGUGAAUGAUGAAGGUCUUAGGAUUGUAAAAUUCUUUUACCAGGGACGAUAAUGACGGUACCUGGAGAAAAAGCCCCGGCUAACUUCGUGCCAGCCGCCGCGGUAAAAC